rnacentral:rRNA from 1 species
AGCGAACGCUGGCGGCAGGCCUAACACAUGCAAGUCGAACGGACCCUUCGGGGUUAGUGGCGGACGGGUGAGUAACACGUGGGAACGUGCCUUUAGGUUCGGAAUAGCUCCUGGAAACGGGUGGUAAUGCCGAAUGGGCCCUUCGGGGGAAAGAUUUAUCGCCUUUAGAGGGGCCCGCGUCUGAUUAGCUAGUUGGUGAGGUAAAGGCUCACCAAGGCGACGAUCAGUAGCUGGUCUGAGAGGAUGACCAGCCACAUUGGGACUGAGACACGGCCCAAACUCCUACGGGAGGCAGCAGUGGGGAAUCUUGCGCAAUGGGCGAAAGCCUGACGCAGCCAUGCCGCGUGGAUGAUGAAGGUCUUAGGAUUGUAAAAUCCUUUCACCGGUGAAGAUAAUGACUGUAGCCGGAGAAGAAGCCCCGGCUAACUUCGUGCCAGCAGCCGCAGUAACAC